rnacentral:rRNA from 1 species
GAUGAACGCUGGCGGCGUGCCUAAUACAUGCAAGUCGAGCGAACAGACGAGGAGCUUGCUCCUCUGACGUUAGCGGCGGACGGGUGAGUAACACGUGGAUAACCUACCUAUAAGACUGGGAUAACUUCGGGAAACCGGAGCUAAUACCGGAUAAUAUAUUGAACCGCAUGGUUCAAUAGUGAAAGACGGUUUUGCUGUCACUUAUAGAUGGAUCCGCGCCGCAUUAGCUAGUUGGUAAGGUAACGGCUUACCAAGGCAACGAUGCGUAGCCGACCUGAGAGGGUGAUCGGCCACACUGGAACUGAGCCACGGUCCAGACUCCUACGGGAGGCAGCAGUAGGGAAUCUUCCGCAAUGGGCGAAAGCCUGACGGAGCAACGCCGCGUGAGUGAUGAAGGUCUUCGGAUCGUAAAACUCUGUUAUUAGGGAAGAACAAAUGUGUAAGUAACUAUGCACGUCUUGACGGUACCUAAUCAGAAAGCCACGGCGAACUACGU